GGAAUUACAGCUCACCCGUAUCCCCUGGUUUGAUAUAAAGCCAAGCGCGGGAUGCCAAAAGAUGGGCGUAGUAGACCGGAGGCACUACAGAAACAGAGGAGGUGCACCUCGCGUACCUGCAACAUCAGGGAUUUGAUGGACGCAUUUGGGAUCUCGGCUCUCUUCAAAGUGAUUCUGAAUCUUGUUUGGGUUGGUUGAUGUGGAUUAUCUAAAGGCGAAGAGGCGACAGAGGUUUAACAUGCACAAUGCAAGCUCAGGUGGUGUGGUAUCUGGUCAUGUGAAGUACACCUGCUUCACCAGUGAAGAUAAUUUGUGUGCGGCGGCAGGGAGUGCUAUUCCAUCAGGUAAAUUUUAGGACAGCUUGGAAACAGCAAGUACUAGACAAUUUGCAAGACCAGAUAGCAUAUUCUGCCAGUGCCGUUACAGCUUAUUGUGCUGAUCCUAUACGAGAGCAACGAUGAACCUAUUUAGCUUCAGGCUAUGUCUUGAACGAACUUACUUUGUUGAUGUUGAAAUUUGAAAGAGUUUAUAUA